GCAAUGAGAGUUGUGCUAAGGUAGCAUAAUAAUUUGAUUUUUAAUUGAAAUCUGGGAUGAAAGGGGCAAUGAAAUUAUAACUUUUUUUAUAAUAAAUUAAAAUUUUAUUUACAAGUGAAAAAGCUUGUAUAAUUUUAUAAGACGAGAAGACCCCAAGAAUUGUUGUUAAUAUAAGGUUAUAAGAUCUUAAUUAGACUUAGCUGGGGCGGCUUGUAAGUAUAAUAACCUUACAAAUAAGAAACUACCAUAGGAUUAGUUUGAAGUUUACAUAAUUAUUAGAAAAUUACCUUGGGGAUAACAGCGUAAUUUAAAUUUAAAGUUCAUAUAAAAAUUAAAGUUUGCGACCUCGAUGUUGGAUUAAGAAAAUAGUAAAGCAGCAUUUACAAAAUAGGGUCUGUUCGACCUGUAUUUCUUACAUGAUCUGAGUUC
rnacentral:rRNA from 1 species